AUUGAACGCUGGCGGAAUGCUUUACACAUGCAAGUCGAACGGCAGCACGGGGGCAACCCUGGUGGCGAGUGGCGAACGGGUGAGUAAUACAUCGGAACGUGCCCAGUCGGGGGGGAUAACGUAGCGAAAGUUACGCUAAUACCGCAUACGAUCUACGGAUGAAAGCGGGGGACCGUAAGGCCUCCCCCGAUUGGAGCGGCCGAUGUCAGAUUAGGUAGUUGGUGAGGUAAAGGCUCACCAAGCCGACGAUCUGUAGCUGGUCUGAGAGGACGACCAGCCACACUGGGACUGAGACACGGCCCAGACUCCUACGGGAGGCAGCAGUGGGGAAUUUUGGACAAUGGGCGCAAGCCUGAUCCAGCCAUUCCGCGUGCAGGACGAAGGCCUUCGGGUUGUAAACUGCUUUUGUACGGAACGAAAAGGCUCUGGUUAAUACCUGGGGCUCAUGACGGUACCGUAAGAAUAAGCACCGGCUAACUACGUGCCAGCCGCCGCAGUAA
rnacentral:rRNA from 1 species